AUGAAAUGAUGUGCAUGCUGGCAGUGUCUUUGCUUUGCCGGUAACCUUUGCAAAGAUGGAAAAGUGCACUUCAUUACCAGGAUGAAAACCAUACUAUUUCAUGACCAUGCACGGAGACAGAGUUUAGAGGAAGGGUGAGAGGGAGCUCUCCUUCUCACGCAGGGAGAUCAGUUCUGGAACUACCUUUUAAUAAGAGAGUUUCACAGCAUGUGCUCCAAAAGGAAUUGCAGAGCGAGGCUCCAGGCCGUAGGCAAGCCGCAAGCAGCAGUUUUACCACGAUGACAUGAGGAGAGCUGCAUAAAUACCACCGAUGUCAAGGUCCCCAAGAUCUGGGGGGAGAGGGAGGUCUCCGUCAAGGGUCUAGGGGGCCAUGUGCAGGAGCUGCCAAUAACAAAGAGGCUUCUGUUCUCACUGGCCUGUCCUCCACCCUGGCCCAGAGGCACAGUCAUUCAUUUGACCUUCCUUCUGCUGUGUCUGUGUGAAGACCCCCACUCCAAACUACUUCAAUGGCAAGAGGCGA
rnacentral:lncRNA from 10 species